CCUUAGACCUGUUUUGCAUGUUGAACAUCGCUGUCAGGACCUAUUGGAUUGUUUGACACACAGGAUGCAAAGUUGUAUUUGUUCACCACACCUUAAAUCCCAUAAAGGGGAGAGGACAAUCACCCUGAACACGUUGUCUUUGAAGGAAGGACUUGAUGUGAAAUGGAUACUUAACUCACGCUCACAUGGGUCAUAAAACAUGAAGAGGAAACUGAAGCGCUCACCACAUCAACAAAAUAUAAAGAAAUUCAUAUAUAUUUGAUGAAGAAUUCACUAUCCCUGCCGUUUUAGAGGAAAUGAAACUUAAGCUCCCAUAUGGGGUGCAAUAAGGAAACUCAAGGAAUAUUCCAAGGAUGUGAAUGUUGGCACUGGUCAAG